rnacentral:sRNA from 2 species
AGCAGCAACCAGCAACCAGCAACCAGCAAUCACCAGCAAGCAGCAGCUUGCUUUUUAACUCUAUCUGCGAGUCUGCGACCCAUUGGGUCCCAAAUGGCCCGCGCACUGCAGCCAGCAGGGCACGUCAAGCUUGUCAAGCAAGACCCAACCAAGCCCACCCACGGAGGGGCCACGGCUUCAGCUACCUCGAACUGUGCAGUGACGCAGCAGGUCGUUCCACAGCUCCGCAAGGAGUAUAUCUACUUUCCUACAUGAACCGACGUACUAACCAGGUAAGUUAAAGCAGAGAAGGGAAAAACGACGAACGAGGGAAAAGGAAAACUACCCAGUAGUAGGCGAACGACGGCAGUACAUUGCGUCCGUCCAUCCUUCAAAAGAAUUUUUUUUUUUUUUUGUUUCAAUUGACAAUACUCCCUUCGUUUUCUUUUUCUUCACACACAAGUUCAAAUUCAAAAAAGUUUCAACAACCGAGGACCCCAAGCUUAUCUCCCCAUCGUUUCACUAUCGUCAAUCAUCCACAACCCAGGAGGAGGGGAGUGGGGAUGUCGAUGUCUGUCUUGUGUUUGGGUGAGAGAAGUCUCGUCCCUCUCCCCUCCCCUCAUCGCGGCUAGGCUAGUUGAAACCUGGGCGUCAGCACCACAGGCACCGCAGACACAGGAAGCAACCUCCACCCCCUCCCAAAGGUCUCAGCCCCAGGUACCAUCGGGCCAUUUUUGACCACCAUGGAUGAACUUCCCCCAAUACAGUAGCUACAUCGUUGGCUGGCACGAUUUUCAACGCUGCGGAAUUCAAGGGAAAAUCAGGAGGAGUGGGAUAGUUGCUGGAGGAAAUUGAAGUGGCAGAAACCAGGGCGUUUUUCUUUUUUGUUUUUGUUUUUGUUUCCUUUCUCCGUUGUCGAUCAGGGGGAUUUGUGGAAAAGCACAGUCUACGUCUAACUUAUAAUAUGUCUCCCCCCACACCAUUUUCUGUCUUCUGCAGAAAGGAUCAGGGAGGAAGACGAGUUAUUGGCUUAGUUAUUGGUUUACUGAUUUAUGGAUUCGUUUUGUCACAAGAUUUCUUGCCGUCCCUAAGCGGGAGCGGAAUGGGUUUUUUUUUGGGAAGGUAGAUCGGGAUAGAUGAUGGACAAUUCUUCGUUUUUCCAUUUUUAGCUUUUUGGGUGGGCGGGUCGGGUUCGGCAGUUUUCGUAGACGAGUUUUCAGAAGAGACAUGGAAGGGAAAGGAGAGAUAUAAAAAAAGAAAAGAAAGGAAAAGAAAUACACUGCACAAAAACCAGCUGAAAGGGAAAAUGUCAAGAGGAAAAACAAAAGCUCCUUUCUUAUUUCUUUUUUCCUUUUCCUUUCCCUGAGGAGUGUGGCUGAAGCUGGGAGGAUUUUUCAGAUCUGCUGCUGCUGCUUUCUGCAGCUCCAAACAUCAUCAUGCUUCUUCUGCUGUUCCUCUUUUUCUUUGAAUAUUAGUUUAUUUAACCAUUUGGCCAAUUCCAGACAUGUAGAAGCACCGAAGCAGCUAAUUGAUUAGGGAAGUGGAGAACAAAAAGUAUAGUCAGUUUGAAUGAAUGAAUGAAUGAAUGAAGAUGUGUGAAGAUAUGUUACAAUUCUCCACCCUUCCCUCUCCCCCGGUACGUAUGUACUGUAUGUACUGUAAAUCGUAGCCAUAUAGAUACCGAC